rnacentral:lncRNA from 1 species
UUUUUAACAGCAAAAAGCCCUGCCAAUAGUUUGACCUUGCUACGUGGAGUAGACUGAAUGAGCUAGGCGGACACUGUGAAUUAUCUAAAGGCGAAGAUGGGCGAAGACUCGGCCCAGCGGGCGCUCUUUCCCAUAGGUGAGCUCCGGCUCCACACACCUGCUGACACCUUUAUAAGCACUUUCUAGUGUGAACCCUUCAGUCGCCUUUCUCAUUUAAGUGCUCGCCUUUUGAAUCUUCAGUAGGG